rnacentral:rRNA from 1 species
UGGGGAAUAUUGCACAAUGGGCGCAAGCCUGAUGCAGCCAUGCCGCGUGUGUGAAGAAGGCCUUCGGGUUGUAAAGCACUUUCAGCGGGGAGGAAGGCGUUAAGGUUAAUAACCUUGGCGAUUGACGUUACCCGCAGAAGAAGCACCGGCUAACUCCGUGCCAGCAGCCGCGGUAAUACGGAGGGUGCAAGCGUUAAUCGGAAUUACUGGGCGUAAAGCGCACGCAGGCGGUCUGUCAAGUCGGAUGUGAAAUCCCCGGGCUCAACCUGGGAACUGCAUUCGAAACUGGCAGGCUAGAGUCUUGUAGAGGGGGGUAGAAUUCCAGGUGUAGCGGUGAAAUGCGUAGAGAUCUGGAGGAAUACCGGGGGCGAAGGCGGCCCCCUGGACAAAGACGGACGCUCAGGUGCGAAAGCGUGGGGAGCAAACAGG